AUGCUGUUUGUCUCUGUAGGACAGUAGUUCAUGUGGCUGUUUGUCUUUGUAGGACAGUAGUUCAGGUGGCUGUUUGUCUUUGUAGGACAGUAGUUCAGGUGGCUGUUUGUCUUUGUAGGACAGUAGUUCAGGUGGCUGUUUGUGUAGAUGCUGUUUGUCUCUGUAGGACAGUAGUUCAGGUGGCUGUUUGUGUAGAUGCUGUUUGUCUUUGUAGGACAGUAGUUCAGGUGGCUGUUUGUCUUUGUAGGACAGUAGUUCAGGUGGCUGUUUGUCUUUGUAGGACAGUAGUUCAGGUGGCUGUUUGUCUCUGUAGGACAGUAGUUCAGGUGGCUGUUUGUCUCUGUAGGACAGUAGUUCAGGUGGCUGUUUGUCUCUGUAGGACAGUAGUUCAGGUGGCUGUUUGUGUAGAUGCUCUUUGUCUUUGUAGGACAGUAGUUCAGGUGGCUGUUUGUGUAGAUGCUGUUUGUCUUUGUAGGACAGUAGUUCAGGUGG
ensembl:lncRNA